CCCUCUCAAUUUCUCAAUUAGAAAUUUCUCAAAAAGAAAUUUCUCAAUUUCUUUUCUUUCCAAAAUAAAUAUAAAUUAUUUUUUAAAAGGUGCCUAAAUUCACUAAAUUCAUGCCGAGUCUGAGCACAAACUGUUUGCAAAAAGCAUGGAAGGAUUUGAGUUUUGGACGAGGCCAACGUGAGACCCAAGAGGAGUUCACAGACCAAGGAUCAUGAGAAUGAACAUCCCAGGAAUUUCCACAUAUGAGGGGGAGAGACACCACAGCAGUAUUCUGUCAUUCAUGGAAUUUCCACCUGGUGCUGUGAUGUUCACAUGUGGUGUAGGGGCUCAAACCUGGAGUCUUGCACAUGACAGUGUUUCUGGUCUACCCCCAUGUCACCUAUCAAGAUCAAGCACUUUGGAUUAUGUCCAGAGACAUCAGGCAUGGAAUUUCAGCCCUUCAGCUUCAUUACUCUGAUGACUUCCCCAAAGUGUCCUGGAAUCCCACCUCUCCAGAGCCCUGCCCCACUACGGAAAGAGAGAAACAGACUGGGAGUAUGGAUCGAACUGUCAACGCCCAUGUUCAGUGGAGAAGCAAUUCUAGAAGCCAGACCUUCCUCCUUCUGCACUCCAUAAUGAUCUUGGGUCCAUGUUUACAGAGGGAUAAAGAACAGAAAAGCUUUCAAGGGAGGGGAUGGGAUACAGAACUCUGGUGGUGGGAACUGUGUGAAAGUG